CCUCUCUCAGGGUCACAUCUGGAGAGUUUCCAGUAUUCUACCAGUCUCGACUAUGAGAGGGAGAGUCAACCAGAGGCAUAUCCAUUCCAUUCCUGGCUUGGUCAGUGGCUAGCUAGUGGAAGGCCACCUACUACAAGU